AUACGGAGGGUGCGAGCGUUAAUCGGAAUUACUGGGCGUAAAGCGUGCGUAGGCGGUUUGUUAAGUCAGAAGUGAAAGCCCUGGGCUCAACCUGGGAACGGCUUUUGAGACUGGCAGACUAGAGUUGAGUAGAGGGGAGUGGAAUUUCCGGUGUAGCGGUGAAAUGCGUAGAGAUCGGAAGGAACACCAGUGGCGAAGGCGACUCCCUGGACUCAAACUGACGCUGAGGUACGAAAGCGUGGGUAGCAAACAGGAUUAGAAACCCUAGUAGUCC
rnacentral:rRNA from 1 species